CCCGCCUGCCCACAACACAGCACGUAGUGGUGCGUCACCUGGGACAGCAACGGCCGGCUGGCCGGACGAUACAUGCAAGCGGUGGUGCUUGCAUUGCUCGGGGACAUGACAUGCACACGCCGCCCAACUCGGGAGUCAAGAACAAGGCAUGUGAGACCACGUCCCGGCCCCAACGUGGCGCAUGCAUGUACACUGAAAGAGCUAGCUAGAUAGAUAGCUGAUCGAUCGGUGGUGCUGCUGUACUGUGCUCCCCCCAGCCGCGAGACUGGUGGCCUGCUGGGUCUGCUGGUUAAGCUGCCUCAUUCAAAUGACACAUCACGGAGAAAUUAAGGGAAAAGGGCAGUCAGCAUAUGCCAUGCUUCUUGCGUUGUUGGCUAGCUCUUGGGAUCAUAUGUUGGUUCCAAGAUUUCGUCCAUGCAUGUGCUCGUGUGUGAUGACGUGCAACUUAUUAUUAUACAUACCAGGUGAGAGGUUUCCCAAAAAAAAAAAAGAUACCAGGUGAGAGGUCCACACAUGUCGUAGGCUCCUAGAGCUUGUUAUGCGGUGCAAAGUGCAAACGCUCUUCUCGAUCGAUCGGUUGAAUGCGCGCAAUAAAAAACAAUAUACAUUGCUACAUAUAAAUGAUAUUUGGGCG
rnacentral:lncRNA from 1 species